GAUUAAGUUAUUAAGGGCGCACGGUGGAUGCCUUGGCACUAGAAGCCGAUGAAGGACGUUACUAACGACGAUAUGCUUUGGGGAGCUGUAAGUAAGCUUUGAUCCAGAGAUUUCCGAAUGGGGAAACCCAGCAUGAGUUAUGUCAUGUUAUCGAUAUGUGAAUACAUAGCAUAUCAGAAGGCACACCCGGAGAACUGAAACAUCUUAGUACCCGGAGGAAGAGAAAGAAAAUUCGAUUCCCUUAGUAGCGGCGAGCGAAACGGGAAGAGCCCAAACCAACAAGCUUGCUUGUUGGGGUUGUAGGACACUCUAUACGGAGUUACAAAGGACGACAUUAGACGAAUCAUCUGGAAAGAUGAAUCAAAGAAGGUAAUAAUCCUGUAGUCGAAAAUGUUGUCUCUCUUGAGUGGAUCCUGAGUACGACGGAGCACGUGAAAUUCCGUCGGAAUCUGGGAGGACCAUCUCCUAAGGCUAAAUACUCUCUAGUGACCGAUAGUGAACCAGUACCGUGAGGGAAAGGUGAAAAGCACCCCGGAAGGGGAGUGAAAUAGAACCUGAAACUGUGUGCUUACAAGUAGUCAGAGCCCGUUAAUGGGUGAUGGCGUGCCUUUUGUAGAAUGAACCGGCGAGUUACGAUUUGAUGCAAGGUUAAGCAGUAAAUGUGGAGCCGUAGCGAAAGCGAGUCUGAAUAGGGCGUUUAGUAUUUGGUCGUAGACCCGAAACCAGGUGAUCUACCCUUGGUCAGGUUGAAGUUCAGGUAACACUGAAUGGAGGACCGAACCGACUUACGUUGAAAAGUGAGCGGAUGAACUGAGGGUAGCGGAGAAAUUCCAAUCGAACCUGGAGAUAGCUGGUUCUCUCCGAAAUAGCUUUAGGGCUAGCCUCAAGUGAUGAUUAUUGGAGGUAGAGCACUGUUUGGACGAGGGGCCCCUCUCGGGUUACCGAAUUCAGACAAACUCCGAAUGCCAAUUAAUUUAACUUGGGAGUCAGAACAUGGGUGAUAAGGUCCGUGUUCGAAAGGGAAACAGCCCAGACCACCAGCUAAGGUCCCAAAAUAUAUGUUAAGUGGAAAAGGAUGUGGCGUUGCCCAGACAACUAGGAUGUUGGCUUAGAAGCAGCCAUCAUUUAAAGAGUGCGUAAUAGCUCACUAGUCGAGUGACACUGCGCCGAAAAUGUACCGGGGCUAAACAUAUUACCGAAGCUGUGGAUUGUCCUUUGGACAAUGGUAGGAGAGCGUUCUAAGGGCGUUGAAGCAUGAUCGUAAGGACAUGUGGAGCGCUUAGAAGUGAGAAUGCCGGUGUGAGUAGCGAAAGACGGGUGAGAAUCCCGUCCACCGAUUGACUAAGGUUUCCAGAGGAAGGCUCGUCCGCUCUGGGUUAGUCGGGUCCUAAGCUGAGGCCGACAGGCGUAGGCGAUGGAUAACAGGUUGAUAUUCCUGUACCACCUAUAAUCGUUUUAAUCGAUGGGGGGACGCAGUAGGAUAGGCGAAGCGUGCGAUUGGAUUGCACGUCUAAGCAGUAAGGCUGAGUAUUAGGCAAAUCCGGUACUCGUUAAGGCUGAGCUGUGAUGGGGAGAAGACAUUGUGUCUUCGAGUCGUUGAUUUCACACUGCCGAGAAAAGCCUCUAGAUAGAAAAUAGGUGCCCGUACCGCAAACCGACACAGGUAGUCAAGAUGAGAAUUCUAAGGUGAGCGAGCGAACUCUCGUUAAGGAACUCGGCAAAAUGACCCCGUAACUUCGGGAGAAGGGGUGCUCUUUAGGGUUAACGCCCAGAAGAGCCGCAGUGAAUAGGCCCAAGCGACUGUUUAUCAAAAACACAGGUCUCUGCUAAACCGUAAGGUGAUGUAUAGGGGCUGACGCCUGCCCGGUGCUGGAAGGUUAAGAGGAGUGGUUAGCUUCUGCGAAGCUACGAAUCGAAGCCCCAGUAAACGGCGGCCGUAACUAUAACGGUCCUAAGGUAGCGAAAUUCCUUGUCGGGUAAGUUCCGACCCGCACGAAAGGCGUAACGAUUUGGGCACUGUCUCAACGAGAGACUCGGUGAAAUCAUAGUACCUGUGAAGAUGCAGGUUACCCGCGACAGGACGGAAAGACCCCGUGGAGCUUUACUGUAGCCUGAUAUUGAAAUUCGGCACAGCUUGUACAGGAUAGGUAGGAGCCUUUGAAACGUGAGCGCUAGCUUACGUGGAGGCGCUGGUGGGAUACUACCCUAGCUGUGUUGGCUUUCUAACCCGCACCACUUAUCGUGGUGGGAGACAGUGUCAGGCGGGCAGUUUGACUGGGGCGGUCGCCUCCUAAAAGGUAACGGAGGCGCUCAAAGGUUCCCUCAGAAUGGUUGGAAAUCAUUCAUAGAGUGUAAAGGCAUAAGGGAGCUUGACUGCGAGACCUACAAGUCGAGCAGGGUCGAAAGACGGACUUAGUGAUCCGGUGGUUCCGCAUGGAAGGGCCAUCGCUCAACGGAUAAAAGCUACCCCGGGGAUAACAGGCUUAUCUCCCCCAAGAGUUCACAUCGACGGGGAGGUUUGGCACCUCGAUGUCGGCUCAUCGCAUCCUGGGGCUGUAGUCGGUCCCAAGGGUUGGGCUGUUCGCCCAUUAAAGCGGUACGCGAGCUGGGUUCAGAACGUCGUGAGACAGUUCGGUCCCUAUCCGUCGUGGGCGUAGGAAAUUUGAGAGGAGCUGUCCUUAGUACGAGAGGACCGGGAUGGACAUACCUCUGGUGUACCAGUUGUCGUGCCAACGGCAUAGCUGGGUAGCUAUGUGUGGACGGGAUAAGUGCUGAAAGCAUCUAAGCAUGAAGCCCCCCUCAAGAUGAGAUUUCCCAACUUCGGUUAUAAGAUCCCUCAAAGAUGAUGAGGUUAAUAGGUUCGAGGUGGAAGCAUGGUGACAUGUGGAGCUGACGAAUACUAAUCGAUCGAAGACUUAAUCAA
rnacentral:rRNA from 1 species